ACAACCAAUGCGUUACAGAUAGCAGACAUCUGUAACCUAAUAUCGCUUUUAUUUAGUUGAUUUCACUUUAAAAAUGGUCGCAGGGUGCUGCGCGGGCGGCUGCACAGACUGACAAGGAUGCAAACCAAACUUAUUUUAUUUUAUAACUUUUAAUGAGGAAAGAUGCGGCAGUGAUGGAUAUCAGCCGUCAACCAUAAAGACUGUCAGCCCUCGGUGUAACCGCGGAUUUGCAGAGAAACACAUUUUACAAGAGUUUGGGCUGGCGCGCUGGAUGAAGUGGGAACCAUUAUGACUCAGCAGCUCCGCCCUGCAUGGUACUCUGUGUUCUUUUCUGAUGAAACUCAACGCAUCUCCAAGGCGAUAUUACUCCCCACGCUGGGAAUCUCAUCUCGCCCAGCUAAAGACACGAAGCCAACGCAGACGGGCCGGAGCUGGACAGGUUGUCCCCUGGUGCUGCCCAUGCAAAGGCGAUAAAACUAAAGCAGCAAAACGCACCGUC